UUGAAUAAGAAACGGGAAUGGCGGACGACCUGGGGAAGAUGAACUGCGAGUCCUCCCAGCGCGCCAGACUGGGCUUAGGUUUCAUUUUCUUAAGGCUUAGGUAUCAUUUCCCCGAGAGGAAGCACACAAUAGUAAUUUUAAAAAAUCAUUUUCCAUAAAAACGUGUGUAUUAGAAAAUGAUGAGGACGAGCAGGUCCUGUGGGAAGAUGAGAAGACUUUCCGGAGUGAGAGGCGAAGGACGUGUUCCAAGCAGAGGGAGCUCAGCAGGCCAGAAGACAGCCAGAGAAGAGCCAAGGCCAGAGGGAGUCAGGAUGGAUGACCCAGUGAAGGCCAAGGACCUGGAUUAAAAACAUCACCUCAUUACAGUUGUCAUUAAUUCUGCAAUACCGUAUAUCCCCACAUAAGGGCUCACACUUGGACUCAUGAGAUUCCGUGACUUUCCAGGGACACGCAGGUAGGAGGCAGCUGAGCCAGAACUUGAACCCAGGCCUCCUGGCCCUGAAUCUUCCCAAACAGAAGCAGGUAUCAUUGACCGAGUCUUGCAUAGGGGAAACAGGAGGCCAGAGGGUUAAGUACUUGUCCAAGGCCACUGAAAGGGCUGAUUUAAGCUGGGAUCAAAACACAGGUGCCUCCAUCUCAAGGUCUCUGCCUCUUUGCCCCUUGCAGCCUGGCCUAGAUGCUCUUCCUUAUGCCAGAGGAGGGCGAAAGCUUGUGUGCCCAGGAGAAGUGGGCACCUGUACUGUUGUACUGGGGCAGGCUGUGCUUCAGCCAUAGGGACCAUUGCGGAGGUGCUUCCCAGCCAAGGACAGCUGGCCCAUUUUACAGAUGCAGACGCUGAGGCCCGCGAGCGGCUCACCCCCAGCUCCCCACCAUCCUUUUGCCUUGGCUCAGCUCCCCUCACCUGCAGCCCUCUCCCUCCCAUUCCUCAGGACCUCAUCUUUCCCACCUGUCCGUCACCACCCUGGGGACCCACAGCUGGGACAAAGUCUUGCCAAUUGGUUAGGUAGGUACUACACCCAUGCUGAUCGUGGUCACUGUCCGUUUCCUGGCUCCUGGUAGCAUUCGGAAAAUGUUGAACGGAUGAAGACCUUGAUGAGUGAACCGGAUCCAGCCAGGUAAAGGUGUGCCUAUUACCCGGAUAACCUGCAAGAAGCCAGGCCUCUUCCUACUGCCUCUUGACCCGUCACGCCAUCUUGUGGUCUUUUGUAGGAAAUGCACCAUCUCGGGCUCGGACACCCAUCUGGGGUUGAAUAGACUAAAGAAAGGGCAAGUGGGAUUGGGGUGUGAACAAGGCCUUGAGGGGAGCAGUUUAACUUAAUGCAGGAAUAUAAUUCAGAUAAGUGACCCAAAAGGAUCUUUCUACCUCCACGGUGAAUGUGGAGAAUCCAGUCAAAAAUAUGAAUGGAAAAUAUACAACCAGGAAGGCUUAGGGUCGCUAGAGAAAUGGGUGAGAUCCUCCGGUCCCGUUCUCAGGAGCCGGUCGUAAGAACAGACAAAACUGCCACCCUUGUCAUCUGAGAUGAGUACACACUUUCACAACCAUGAUCACCAUUCCAGGACUUUGCCCCAGCUACCUGCCCCACUCCUCCAGAGCGGGGGUGUGGGGGACCCGGCCUUGUAACCCGAGGUGAGGACUCUGCCCAGCAGCGGUAACACCCCUUCUCCAGAAAGCAACACCAAGCCCAGGAAGUCGCAAGGGCCAGCUGGGCCCAGCGUUGGUCCUUUAUUCCGCCGCUGUGUCAAGGUCCCUCGGCCCUAUCUAAUCAAACUGGCAUUCACAAUCCAAGAGUCCAGUCCCAUUAUUCCGAUCCUUAAUUGUCCGAAUCAGGUAGCCCUUGCAGUCUAAUUUGAGUAGUUUAGGUUUCCAGGUGACAGUGGCUCUUUUAGGCAUUUUCGGGAAGCCGGUCAGGUAGAGUUGUGUGAGCCCAGGAGAAGGGCAGUCCCCACAGGCAUCUGGAACUCGCUCUGCCCGUUGCUACGGUUUGGAUCCGGACUGCGUGUUACAGCCUCUGUCCUCCUCUCGGUGCUGCUGGGAAUGCAGAGACAAGGUCUCACUAUGCAGUUGAGACUGACCUGGAA